AGUGAACGCUGGCGGCGUGCCUAAUACAUGUAAGUCGAACGGAGUGGCGCCCGGGUGAGUAAUGUAUAGCUAAUCUGCUUGACACUAGAGGACAACAGUUGGAAACGGCUGCUAAUACUCUAUAGUGUAGGAUGAGGCUAUAUUGUAUCAGCUAGUUGGUGAGGUAAUGGCUCACCAAGGCUAUGACGCAUAACUGGUCUGAGAGGAUGAUCAAUCUCACUGUACCUGGGACACGGUCCAGGCUCCUUCGUGGUGCAGCAAUAGGGAAUCGUGCUCAAUGGGGGAAACCCUCCAGCCCCACCGCCGCGUGGCGGAUGACACUUUUCGGAGCGUAAACUCCUUUUGUUAGGGAAGCGGUACCUAACGAAUAAGCACCGGCUAACUCCGUGCCAUCAGCCGCGGUAAUAC
rnacentral:rRNA from 1 species